rnacentral:rRNA from 1 species
UACCAGCACCCCGAGUGGUCGGGACGAUUAUUGGGCCUAAAGCAUCCGUAGCCGGUCCUACAAGUCUUCCGUUAAAUCCAGCUGCUCAACAGAUGGGCUGCGGAAGAUACUAUAGGGCUAGGAGGCGGGAGAGGCAAGCGGUACUCAGUGGGUAGGGGUAAAAUCCUCUGAUCCAUUGAAGACCACCAGUGGCGAAGGCGGCUUGCCAGAACGCGCUCGACGGUGAGGGAUGAAAGCUGGGGGAGCAAACCGG